UCAUGUUAAAGGCAAACCUAUGAGAAAUCUAGGGACGCAAAGCUAUAGGGCCUGCAAAAGGUAGCCAGUUGUCUUG
rfam:Tenericutes bacterium GWD2_38_27 gwd2_scaffold_3685, whole genome shotgun sequence.